UCCUGGGGGCUCAGACGGUAAAGUGUCUGCCUGCAACGCGGGAGACCUGGGUUCGAUUCCUAGGUCAGGAA
rnacentral:tRNA from 1 species